GGCCGGUUAGCUCAGUCAGUUGAGCAUAACGCUAACAACGCUAAGGUCGUGGGUUCAAUUCCCGUUCGGUCC
rfam:Apaloderma vittatum contig87184, whole genome shotgun sequence.